UACGGAGGGUGCAAGCGUUAUCCGGAUUCACUGGGUUUAAAGGGUGCGUAGGAGGGCAGGUAAGUCAGUGGUGGAAUCUCCAAGCUUAACUUGGAAACUGCCGUUGAUACUAUCUGUCUUGAAUACCGUGGAGGUGAGCGGAAUAUGUCAUGUAGCGGUGAAAUGCUUAGAUAUGACAUAGAACACCAAUUGCGAAGGCAGCUCGCUACACGAAUAUUGACUCUGAGGCACGAAAGCGUGGGGAUCAAACAGG
rnacentral:rRNA from 1 species